GCCGACCCCGCGCUCUCCCGCUCAGCUCGCCGUCCCCAAACCGAGCGCGGCUGCCCCGAAGGACGGGAACAACCGACCCCUCCCGACCCUCCCCAGCCUCAACCUGCUGCACUUCGACCGCGAGCGCCUGGAGCGGAAGCUGGCGCCGUUCGGCCGCGCGGGGCGCCCGGUGCCCCCCGAGCUGCGGCAGCAGCACCAGGAGCUGCAGCGGCGCAUCCAGGGGCUGGGGGCGCGGCUGCAGGGGGGCGACCCCCAGUUCCGCACGGAGUACGCCGAGCACCUGCAGCGGCACCUGCGGCUCUACACGGAAGCCGCGCGGCGCCUCGGCACGCAGGGAGAGAGGGUGGGUGAGACCCCAGCCCAGCCAAGCCCCCCGAGCCGGGGGAACCCCCCCAGGGCCCCCGGGACACCCCCAGAUUCUGAGGGUUCCGCCCCAAAAAUCGUGGAGCAGUCCCGCUCCCUCUCGGAUCUUCCCAAGUCCUGGUGAUUCCCCACCCCCCAAAAUCCUGGACACUCCCAAAUCCUGGUGGUCCCACCCCAAAAAUCCCCAACACCCACCCCCAGACCCUCCUGGACACCCCCAAAUCCUGGGGGUCCCACCCCAAAAAUCCUGGACACUCCUAAAUCUUGAUGGUCCCAUCCCAAAAAAAAAGUUUUGGACCACCCCCAGACCCUCCUGGACACUCCCAAAUUCUUGUGGUCCCACCCCAAAAAUCCUGGACUACCCUCAAAGAUCCUGGACACUCCCAAAUCCUCCCCAAAAAUCCUGGACCACUCCCCCAGACCCUCCUCAACACCCCCAAAUUCUGAGGGUCCCACCCCAAAAAUCGUGGAGCACCACCCCCAGAC